rnacentral:rRNA from 1 species
GAUCUAAGGUAGCGAAAUUCCUUGUCGGGUAAGUUCCGACCUGCACGAAUGGCGUAACGAUGGCCACACUGUCUCCUCCCGAGACUCAGCGAAGUUGAAGUGUUUGUGAUGAUGCAAUCUACCCGCGGCUAGACGGAAAGACCCCAUGAACCUUUACUGUAGCUUUGCAUUGGACUUUGAACCGAUCUGUGUAGGAUAGGUGGGAGGCUAUGAAACCGGAACGCUAGUUUCGGUGGAGCCGUCCUUGAAAUACCACCCUGGUUUGUUUGAGGUUCUAACCUUGGCCCGUGAUCCGGGUCGGGGACAGUGCAUGGUAGGCAGUUUGACUGGGGCGGUCUCCUCCCAAAGCGUAACGGAGGAGUACGAAGGUACGCUAGGUACGGUCGGAAAUCGUGCUGAUAGUGCAAUGGCAUAAGCGUGCUUAACUGCGAGACCGACAAGUCGAGCAGGUGCGAAAGCAGGUCAUAGUGAUCCGGUGGUUCUGAAUGGAAGGGCCAUCGCUCAACGGAUAAAAGGUACUCUGGGGAUAACAGGCUGAUACCGCCCAAGAGUUCAUAUCGACGGCGGUGUUUGGCACCUCGAUGUCGGCUCAUCUCAUCCUGGGGCUGUAGCCGGUCCCAAGGGUAUGGCUGUUCGCCAUUUAAAGAGGUACGUGAGCUGGGUUUAAAACGUCGUGAGACAGUUUGGUCCCUAUCUGCUGUGGGCGUUGGAGAUUUGACGGGGGCUGCUCCUAGUACGAGAGGACCGGAGUGGACGCACCUCUGGUGUACCUGUUGUCACGCCAGUGGCAUCGCAGGGUAGCUAUGUGCGGAAGAGAUAACCGCUGAAAGCAUCUAAGCGGGAAACUUGCCUGAAGAUGAGAUCUCCCUGGGGACUCGAUCCCCCUCAAGGGUCGUUCAAGACCAGGACGUUGAUAGGCCGGAUGUGGAAGCGCAGUAAUGUGUGAAGCUAACCGGUACUAAUUGCCCGUGAGGCUUGACCCA